GGAAGACAUCGUGAGCAACAUGAGAUGGCUGCCUAAAACAUAUACAAUAUUUGUUGAGGAUCCCUUUGAGCAGCCACUUAAUUCAGCAAGGGGUGUAAGCACUAAACAACUAACAAGAAUAGAAGAAGCAUUCAGGAGUACCCACUUUAUGCUUUGUUCAUCGAAUCUAAACGAGAAUGAAGUUAUUUCUACUCUUGUUAAGCCACAUGUAUCAAAGUUCGUGGCAAGAAUAUCUGGAAACCAAAAUAACUACAGUAGAAAUGGCCUUCGGCCACAAUUGCAAGGACAGAGAGCUAUACAUCCACCAUUA
rnacentral:misc_RNA from 1 species